rnacentral:lncRNA from 10 species
GUCGCCCAGGCUGGAGUGCAGAGGCGCGAUCUCGGCUCACUGCAAGCUCCGCCCCCGCGGGUUCACGCCAUUCUCCCGCCUCAGCCUCCGGAGCAGCUGGGAUUACAGGCGCCCGCCAUCACGCCCAGGUUCUCCUUCUCUCCUCUAUCCUGCCACUUUGUGAAGAAGGUGCUUGCUUCUCCUUCACCUUCCACCAUGAUUAAAAAUAGAAUAUAAAAACUUCUCUACUCCUGACUCACCAACGCACCAGAACAACUUUUAGUCCUGCAAUCAUGACCAUCCUUCCUUCUCUAAUAUUCUGACCACAUGUAUCAGUAUUCAGAAAAAAGCAAGAGCUUCUUCUCGCAGGCGGGAUUGCCAUUGAAGAGGAUGUCAAGAAAGAUGAGUCACUGUUAGGAUUGAUUCAUGAUACUUUAUUGCCAAGCUGCAUUUGCUGAUAGAGUCAUCUAUAUCCUGGUAUCCAUGGAACACAGUGGAAGGGAAAUCUGUCCUUGUCAUUACCUGGCCACAGGCCUCUUUUAAAAGAUACUAGAAAAUUAAUUAGACUGCAAAUUCACCCAUAAAAUUAAAGUAAAAGCUACCUGGGCUCAGGGCUCUGAAAGAGGAUAACUUAUUUGGAUUAGAAAAUUUGUCAUGUUGAGCUCAAGUAGCAUUAAUUUGUUUAGAAGAGAUAAUGAUAUUUCAUUAUUAUUCCCAACCCUGAAGUUAGUCAAGAAAUAACUAAAAUAAAUACCUUGUAAAUACUGACUACACAUAAUACUUAUACUCUAUAGCAACAUGGCCACACUCAGUAAUCUUGACAAGUUUAGGAAAGCAUUUAAAUAAAAUAAAACUUGAGCCAGAUAAACUCUGGAAGAUCUUUAAAAUUAAAUAUAAUAGUUACUGGGUAAAGCGAAUGGAAAACUAGAUCAGAAAUAGAAAUUGUGCCUUACUCUUAUAAUUUCAACCAUGACAAUAUAAAUAAAUAGUAUGCUGUUAAAAAAUAAUUUGACCAUUGGGAGCAUUUAAGAUUUCUACAUGCUUUACCUAUUUUACAGAGAGAAUAAAUUUUUAAAGAAGGCAGAACACGAAGACAUUUCUUUUUACCUCAAAACUAUUCCUUAUUUCUGACUGUUGAGCAAUAUGGUUUUCCUGAAAUGAUAGAAACAAAUUUUAUACAGUUGAGAAUAGAGUAACUGAAAGAUUCCCAACCAUUUUGCUGAAGGAAGUAAAUGACUU